CCUACGGGAGGCAGCAGUGAGGAAUAUUGGUCAAUGGACGAGAGUCUGAACCAGCCAAGUAGCGUGAAGGAUGACUGCCCUAUGGGUUGUAAACUUCUUUUAUAUGGGAAUAAAAUGUUCCACGUGUGGGAUUUUGUAUGUACCAUAUGAAUAAGGAUCGGCUAACUCCGUGCCAGCAGCCGCGGUAAUCCGGAGGAUCCGAGCGUUAUCCGGAUUUAUUGGGUUUAAAGGGAGCGUAGGUGGAUUGUUAAGUCAGUUGUGAAAGUUUGCGGCUCAACCGUAAAAGUGCAGUUGAAACUGGCAGUCUUGAGUACAGUAGAGGUGGGCGGAAUUCGUGGUGUAGCGGUGAAAUGCUUAGAUAUCACGAAGAACGCCGAUUGCGAAGGCAGUUCACUGGACUGCAACUGACACUGAGGCUCGAAAGUGUGGGUAUCAAACAGGAUUAGAUACCCUUGUAGUC
rnacentral:rRNA from 1 species